AUGCUGUCACUUUGGCAGCAUAUGUACUAAAACCGGAAUGACACAGAGAAGAUUAGCAUGGCCCCUGUGGAAGGAUGACACGCAAAUUCAUGAAGUGUUCCAUAUUUUU
rnacentral:snRNA from 1 species